AAUGAAUGCCAGUUCCAUAAGUCAUUGUGCCAUGUAGUGUGUGUGUAUAUAUACAUAUACACACACAUACUACAUGGCACAAUGACUUAUGGGGCUGGCA